CAGAAACGACCCCACCCCGUAUGUUCUUCUUCUUUCUCUUUCACGCAGAAACGCGACCCAACUCGCGAAACCCAGCCAGAACGUGACCCGAAUCCAGCGAGCCCAAGCAGCGCGACGUCAAAAUACACGACGUCUUCACAGCCAGCAGACGGAUUCCUCCAACGUUCACAAGCAGACGGAAAGCGAUUCACGGCGUCUAUGUACACGUAACAGCUUUAUUCUCGUCGUCUUCUUCACCCAGUACGAUGGUACUGUUCCAGUCGCGAUUCCAGCGAAAAGCACCUGCAACAGUCGCAUUUUCGUCCUUUUCCAGCUUAAGAUAGAGACACGUCGACGCUCAAGGACAUUGGAAUCAUCCUAGACGUCCACCUCGCCCUUCCUCUUUUUGAAAUCUUUUGGAUUUGAGCGAAAAUAACUCUCCCCUGUUUGAGGAUAAGAGGAGAAUUUUGAAUUUUUGAAUUCGUUCCUUGGUUCUUACCCGUUUUACCCUCAUCGUUUCCCCUCUAUUACGAACCCUAAUUUCCCCUAUAUAAACCUCCUCCUUAUUCAUUAUUAGGGGAGAUUUUUUGAGCAAAAAAUAUUUUGGAACAACUUAAGCAAAAACAAUAAAAAUACGUACUAAGCACAUUUGAAACAGAGGAGAGAUCAAUGCAAUUAUAGUGUGGUUUCCUUGCUCAUCCAUAGGAGUCUUUAUAGUCUCGUUUUGGUGGUAGAGGUUGUCUUUGUCAAACUCGUCCAUCCAGUUCGCUACCUAGAACCAAGUAAUCUUCUUGCUCUUUCUUUAAUCCUUUCUUCCUGUUGCAUUGCAGAAUUGUUGUUUGUUUUAGUAUUAAUUAUUUUUUAGAUUCAAUGUGAUUAGUGUGAUGGUUAUGUAAACGACAACAAAAGUUUAUUAUUCAAUGUUAAAUGAGUUUAUUAAAUAUUUUGCUCUACUGAUGGGUUUUUUUUUCUUUUUGUAGUUCGAGAUGUGAAUUUGGUUCUUUUACUUAGUCGAGUUCAUAAAUCUUUAUAGGCGUUUCUAGUUACUAUUAUUUUCAUUCGACUUCGAAAUCCAUGUUAUGUAGUUGUUGAUUUCUCUUCAUUGCUUUCUUUAGAUACAUAUGUUUAGAGUUCUAAGUUGUGCACUUCAUUGCUUCAAGUUUGUUUGGACCGAGUGUUAUGUUGAGCUUUGUUGUUCCCAAAUUAUUAGUUUUUUAGCUAAUCUCUAGUAUAGUUGAAUCAAUCGAGUUAUUGUUGCUCCAUCUAGCAUUUCUUCAUUAUCAUAUGCUGUUUUGUUAAAAUUUCAGAUUCAACACAGUUUGAUUAUUUUCUUAUGGUUAAAAGUUGUCCUAGCUCAGGCUGAGCUUUUCCCUUUCUUUUGUCUAUUUAACAAUCUAUUUGUUAUCUCUGAUUUGAAAUGAAUAUACACUAGUCUUGUGAUCAUCUGGUUUAAAUGUGUAACUUCCUGAAACCUGCUAGACCUAGCUAAACAUUGUGCCUCUAGUCUUGACAAAUUCUUAAGUUCCCAUCCCUAGAAAUUUGCUGUAUAUAGACUAGGAUGAAUCAUGUAGUUAGAGAAGGCUAUUGGUGUUGCUCAUCUAAGCUUAAGUUCUUUUUCUUGAGACUUUUUCCUUUUCGUGAAAUAUGAACUUGCCUAUGAUUAAUAGCAAAUUUUAUUUAUUUGAUUUUGCAUUACAUCUGAUUAGACUGAAAAAAGCCUAAAAAAUGCACCAUCCUUGCUAGCUCGACUGUCAUGUUUGUGUUGAAAAUAGCUUACCUUUGGGGUUGCUCUUUAGCAUUCUCCAAAGAGCUAGGCUUGGAUGACUGAAAGCUUAUAUCGCGGCUCUUUUGCAUCCUAAAGUAUAUUGAUUUACCAUCCUCAGACCCCUGCUUGAAUUUGAGUACAGAUUUUCUUGGAUUUACAUUUAAAUGCUACAUGAUAGUAUCAUCUUAUUUUCUGCUCUCUGUUUGUCCCGAGGCUGGUUUUAAAGGUUCAACUUAGGUAUGUAUUAAGUGUUGGUCUGCUUACUUGAGUAGUUUGAUUCUAUUAGGGGUUGAAUUUUAAAUAUUCGUUAUGAAGUUUAACUUGAGACAUAGAGCCUCGUUCACAACAAGUUUAGCAUGCGUUGUUUUCCAUUUUUUAUUGAUCAAUUGCUUAUUGUUUCCACUGCUUUGUUUAGCUUUGUUAGCUAUUUUAAAUUUAAUCAAUUUCUCUGUUUUUCCUCUCUUAUUUGAAUUUCUUGGGUCCCUUUGCACAUGUUUAGUUCUAGAUUUCUCAUAGAACCUCUGAUUGUAUAAGUUUUAGUUGGAUCUUUUGAGUUUGGUUUACAUUAGGAGUGGAUUUUUGGCUCCAAAGAUAUUGUUCCAAAGUAGUGUUUUGUUAUUGUUUGUCCAAUGCCUUUCUGUACAUCAGUGGCUAAGCUAAAUAUAAUUGAAUUAUGACUCCUCUGUUUGUUUUAGCUUAUUUUUUUAAAAAAUCUCUCGCACUAAGUGCUUAAUUAUUUUUUUUUAGUUGUUGAUCAUGCAUGUUCCUUAUUUUGGUUAUUAGUAGAAGGUCUACUCUUAAGAUGGUAGUUAGAUGUUGAUAGAUUCUAAUUUUUUUUUCCUGUAAUGCUAAGUUAGCAGCUUAGCUUAAUUUUUUGUUUUAUUGUAUUAUUAUUAUUAUUAUUAUUAUUUUAUGUUAGUUCUAACGUUACUUCCUUUCCUUUCUUCGCAUGUGACAUUCGAGUCCAAUGGACUCCCCCCUUCUUGCAUACUCCUCUCUUUUGAGUCAACCUCAUCCGAGACGUGAAAGAGAAGCUAAUAUUAAUGGGUUAAAACCCAAACCACUGGCAGCAGCUCAAAUAGCAGAGUUAUAACACUCCCAAAAGCUGAAAAUUGGCAAAAUUUGGACUUAAAAGAAUCCAAUUUAAUCGAAGUAGUAGCAGCAGUCCCCAAAGGGACUAAAUUGAGAAUUCUUGGACUUUAACAAGUCCAAUUUCCACGGCAGCAGCAAGGAGCAUGAUAGGCCGAGGGCCUAAUUUCUCGUUAUUUAUUUUGUCAUAUUGUUUCGUGUUCUUAUUAUAUUUUGGAAAUGCUAACAUUUUCUCCUUUUUGUUAACUUAGAUGAAUCCUUGGGGAAGAUUUCUAUUUUGUUACUCAUUUUAAACUUCUAUUUUGUCACUCAUUUUUUUUAAGUAUUUAAAUUUUCAAAACCCCUUUUAUUUAAGGCAAAUUUAAAGCUCUUAGACUAUCUUGAGAAUUAUCCGUAUUCUUUCAUAGUUAGUAAUUUGCUUUGAAUCCACGUUAAUGAGAUUGAGCUAACCAUUUAGUUCAAAAUCUAUAACUUGGAUAAAUUAUCAA
rnacentral:lncRNA from 1 species